ensembl:lncRNA
AGAUGCAUUCCAAGUAUUGUUCUUCGAAUCUUUAUUUCAACUUAUUAUUGUUGGAAUGCAUUAGAUGCAUUCCAAGUAUUGUUCUUCGAAUCUUUAUUGUUGGAAUGCAUUAACGAUGCAUUCCAAGUAUUGUUCUUCGAAUCUUUAUUGUUGGAAUGCAUUGAGAUGCAUUCCAAGUAUUGUUCUUCGAAUCUUUAUUUCCGACUUAUUAUUAUGUUUCUUCUAUUUCUUCCGCGCCGCCUUUCAACUCCUUCACAUUUUCAGCUAUUAAAAUCCUUCAAAUAUUAAAAUGUUCAGCUUCUUUCUGGCUUGAGGGCUAUGACUUUUCAGCUUUCUACCUCUUAAGCUUGAAUUUAUAUAAAUCAAUAAUCAUUAAUAUUUUAACAUGGUUUUCAAAUGGAGUUUGCUUUCAAAUCCUCCUAAACUUCUUCAACUUUCAGAUUUUUCAGCUUCGCCAAUCUUUCAGCUACAGACACCAUUUAAACUUUCAAAUGUUGACACAAGUCUCAACUAUUUUAUGAAAAAAACUGCUUGUUGAUAUCUAUUGUACUUUUUUCAUAAUCACUGAUUAUGUUUCACUAGUUUUUCGCUCCGUUUCUGACUUUUACAUGAGUGUGUAUUGCGUCUGCUAGAGUGGAGAGCUCGCGGGCUAGAGUGUGGGGCAUCGCAGGAAUCUGGUUAAAAAAGUAUGGAACUUCUGUCCUUGCAGCCAAAGUAUACACUCUAGAGGCUUCAUUUCUUCAGAUUAAUGAGGGUAUGGUUGUGCUGAUUGGAUUAAUGAGUUCAUGGAAUCCCAGAGUUUUUUAGUUUUGGCGCAAGGAGUGUUUGAGUGACACAACCUCUGCCAAAAGCCCCAUAGGCUCCAAUACAAAUCUGCCGACAUAUUUCUCACAAAAAUCCACAAGGUACACGUUCUGUCAACGGCCAUAGGAGCCGUAUUUAUUACCGGACAGACAUAAAAAGCACAUCCACGCGUUCGGUAGAGUCUUGGGUCUCAUACAAACGCCGUAUUUUUUAGAUAGCUGUUAUAGUUUUGCGCUGGUUCUCAUUUGUGUGAGGUGUGGAUUCUGUGUAACUUGCUGCCAUGUCUCUGUCUUUUGCAGCAGAUCGUUAAUGAGCACAGGUGCGCCGUUGUCGUGGUUACUCGCUCACACGCUGCAGGAUCUCUGUCUGUGGCUCAAAGCUGCUCCUAUGACCUGAUUAGUGGAGUCACAUGACGCAGCUAUGCUUUCUGUCAACAGACCAAUAUGAUAAAGACACUCGCCCCCCCUCCCCACUCCACCCUGACCCCUUCUCACUGUUAAUCACUCUCAGUCAGUAUGUCUGUCUAUCUCUCCUCUCUCUCUCUCUCCCUCUAUCUCUUCCUCACCACCAUUCCCUUCCUCACCCUCUCAGCCUCCCUCCCUCUAUCUACACCCCCCCACCCCACCCAAUCCAAUCAUUUCAAAAUAAAAGCCCCAUGGAGGGAAUUUUUACUGUAAUGUCUGUGAUGAGGCCUAUUAAUUAAAAACUUUUAAGUGUGAAUAACAAACAUUCUGUCUCCCACUACGAAUAUUACUCGUACUUCUAGUACUACAACUGAUACUUCUACUACCAUACUACUAGUAUUUCUACUGCUAUUAAUACUACAACUACUACUAAUGUUAUUACAAAUACUACUAUGGCUAAUAGUAUUACAGCUGUUUCUACUGCUAUUGAUACUAAACCUACUAUUACUGCUCUACUGCUAGUACUACUAAUAUCACAAUUAUAACUAAUACUAGUACUAAUAUUACUACAAACAAUUUUAAACAAAUUUAACUUCCUGCAACUUCUGUUUUUAGAAAAUCUAUUGAAAUUCAGCUCCCCCACUUCCUGUAUUUUCAGCAGUUCUUUAAAAUAAUUUCAGCUAUUCUUAUGCCUCUAUCAACAGCAAUUUUUUAAUAUUCAUUUCUGUAUUUUUUUGCAAUAUUUCAAAUUUAUUUCAGCUGUUUUCAUUCCUGCUUUUUCAGCAAAUCUAUUGAAAUUCCUUUCAGCUUCUCCCAUUUCUGUAUUUUCAGCAAUUUCAAAUUCAUUUCAGCUUUUCAAAUAUCUGUCAUUUCAGCAAAUGUAUUCAAAUUCCCUUCAACUUUCUGUAUUUUCAGCUAUUUUCAAAUAUUCAGUGCAGCUUUCAGCUUUUUGCAUUCCAACGCAUUUUCAGCAGGAAAUGCCUUUUCUAGUUAUUAUAUUUCUUCCGCGCCCCCUUUCAACUGCUUCCCAUUUUCAGCUAUUUAAACCAUUCAAAUUUUAAAAUAUUCAGCUUCUUUCUGGCUUGAGGGCUAUUUAUGUUCAGCUUUCUAGCUCUUAAGCUUGAAUUUAUAUAAAUCAGUAAUCAUUAAUAUUUUAACA